UACGGGGGGGCAAGCGUUGUUCGGAAUUACUGGGCGUAAAGGGCGCGUAGGCGGCCUGCUAAGUCACACGUGAAAUCCCUCGGCUCAACCGGGGAACUGCGUGUGAUACUGGCGGGCUUGAAUUCGGGAGAGGGAUGUGGAAUUCCAGGUGUAGCGGUGAAAUGCGUAGAUAUCUGGAGGAACACCGGUGGCGAAGGCGGCAUCCUGGACCGAGAUUGACGCUGAGGCGCGAAAGCUAGGGGAGCAAACGGGG
rnacentral:rRNA from 1 species